UACAGAGGGGGCAAGCGUUGUUCGGAAUUACUGGGCGUAAAGGGCGCGUAGGCGGCCUUCUAAGUCGAACGUGAAAUCCCUGGGCUCAACCCAGGAACUGCGUCCGAUACUGGAAGGCUUGAAUCCGGGAGAGGGAUGCGGAAUUCCUGGUGUAGCGGUGAAAUGCGCAGAUAUCAGGAAGAACACCCGUGGCGAAGGCGGCUCUCUGGGACGGUACUGACGCUGAGACGCGAAAGCGUGGGGAGCGAACAGG
rnacentral:rRNA from 1 species